rnacentral:rRNA from 1 species
CGAUUUUUCACGUCGCCUGACAAGAACAAGAAUUGCAAAGAAGAAGUGAAAAGAAAACACAGAACAAAGGAUGAACGCCGGAGAGCACUACUAUAUAAUUUUCCCCCAAAAUAUGAUGGGCAGUGGUGUGCUUGUUUGCAUUGAUCGCAUGGUGGCCAGCACUUCACCACACAUCUGACGGCGACUGUUUUAUCCAUGAGGUGGAGGAUAAGAGAAGCGCAUCUCUGAAAUUCACAGUUUUGAACCUAAAGAGACACAUCUAGAAAAUGAUUGCACGAGUGGUUCCAGUGUCAUGUGCGUCAACAUG